ACGAUAAAGGGAUUGGCCACAACACCCAGUAUCCUGUAUACCUUUUUUUGUUCAGGAUGGCCUUUGUCAUCAGUCAUCUCCUGGAGUCUUGAGAGAUGUGGGGUCUAAAAUGGAGACGCGAAUAAAAAGGUUUUACUUCAGCGUUUUUGAGAGAAUAUGCCUUUCUUCUGUUCUUUUAUUCUUUUUUCUGUUUAACAACUACCCAAUUUCUUGAUAUUUGACAUUGGAUCGAUCAGAUGAUCCCACAUCGGC
rnacentral:lncRNA from 1 species